rnacentral:rRNA from 1 species
CAGCAGCCGCGGUAAUACGAAGGGGGCUAGCGUUGUUCGGAAUUACUGGGCGUAAAGCGUGCGUAGGCGGCUUUUUAAGUCGGAUGUGAAAUCCCUGAGCUUAACUUAGGAAUUGCAUUCGAUACUGGGAAGCUAGAGUAUGGGAGAGGAUGGUAGAAUUCCAGGUGUAGCGGUGAAAUGCGUAGAGAUCUGGAGGAAUACCGAUGGCGAAGGCAGCCAUCUGGCCUAAUACUGACGCUGAGGUACGAAAGCAUGGGGAGCAAACAGGAUUAGAUACCCCGGUAGUCCCUGUCUCUUAUAC